rnacentral:rRNA from 1 species
GACGAACGUUGGCGGCGUGCUUAACACAUGCAAGUCGAGCGGUAAGGCCCUUUCGGGGGUACACGAGCGGCGAACGGGUGAGUAACACGUGGGUGACCUGCCUCUAGCUCUGGGAUAAGCCCGGGAAACUGGGUCUAAUACUGGAUAUGACUCCAUGACGCAUGUUGUGGGGUGGAAAGCCUUGUGCGGCUAGAGAUGGGCCCGCGGCCUAUCAGCUUGUUGGUGGGGUGAUGGCCACCAAGGCGACGACGGGUAGCCGGCCUGAGAGGGCGACCGGCCACACUGGGACUGAGACACGGCCCAGACUCCUACGGGAGGCAGCAGUGGGGAAUCUUGCGCAAUGGGCGAAAGCCUGACGCAGCGACGCCGCGUGAGGGAUGACGG